UCACAGUAGCACGUGCCAGAUCUCUGCC
rnacentral:sRNA from 1 species